GGGGAAUAUUGGACAAUGGGCGAAAGCCUGAUCCAGCAAUGCCGUGUGUGUGAAGAAGGCCUGCGGGUUGUAAAGCACUUUAAGUUGGGAAGAAAAGCAAUUGGUUAAUACCCAAUUGUAUUGACGUUACCGACAGAAUAAGCACCGGCUAACUCUGUGCCAGCAGCCGCGGUAAUACAGAGGGUGCGAGCGUUAAUCGGAAUUACUGGGCGUAAAGGGUGCGUAGGCGGUCUUUUAAGUCGGAUGUGAAAUCCCUGGGCUUAACCUAGGAAUUGCAUACGAUACUGCAAGACUUGAGUACAGUAGAGGAUAGUGGAAUUCCACGUGUAGCGGUGAAAUGCGUAGAUAUGUGGAGGAACACCAGUGGCGAAGGCGGCUAUCUGGACUGAUACUGACGCUGAGGCACGAAAGCGUGGGGAGCAAAC
rnacentral:rRNA from 1 species